AUUGAACGCUGGCGGCAUGCCUUACACAUGCAAGUCGAACGGCAGCACGGGUGCUUGCACCUGGUGGCGAGUGGCGAACGGGUGAGUAAUAUAUCGGAACGUACCUUAUUGUGGGGGAUAACGCAGCGAAAGCUGUGCUAAUACCGCAUAAUCCCUAUGGAUGAAAGCGGGGGAUCGCAAGACCUCGCGCGAUUGGAGCGGCCGAUAUCAGAUUAGGUAGUUGGUGAGGUAAAGGCUCACCAAGCCGACGAUCUGUAGCUGGUCUGAGAGGACGACCAGCCACACUGGAACUGAGACACGGUCCAGACUCCUACGGGAGGCAGCAGUGGGGAAUUUUGGACAAUGGACGCAAGUCUGAUCCAGCCAUUCCGCGUGCAGGACGAAGGCCUUCGGGUUGUAAACUGCUUUUGUACAGAACGAAAAGGUCUCUAUUAAUACUAGGGGCUCAUGACGGUACUGUAAGAAUAAGCACCGGCUAACUACGUGCCAGCAGCCGCCGUAA
rnacentral:rRNA from 1 species